rnacentral:tRNA from 1 species
AGAGAAGUACCCAAGUGGCUCAAGGGGCUCCCCUGCUAAGGGAGUAGAUCGUUAACACGGUGCGAGGGUUCGAAUCCCUUCUUCUCUG